GAGAUAGGUGCCCCCUUGUGGUCGGUGUACAGGUGGUGCAUGGCUGUCGUCAGCUCGUGUCGUGAGAUGUUGGGUUAAGUCCCGCAACGAGCGCAACCCUUGUUCUGUGUUGCCAGCAUGCCUUUCGGGGUGAUGGGGACUCACAGGAGACUGCCGGGGUCAACUCGGAGGAAGGUGGGGACGACGUCAAGUCAUCAUGCCCCUUAUGUCUUGGGCUGCACACGUGCUACAAUGGCCGGUACAAUGAGCUGCGAUACCGUGAGGUGGAGCGAAUCUCAAAAAGCCGGUCUCAGUUCGGAUUGGGGUCUGCAACUCGACCCCAUGAAGUCGGAGUCGCUAGUAAUCGCAGAUCAGCAUUGCUGCGGUGAAUACGUUCCCGGGCCUUGUACACACCGCCCGUCACGUCACGAAAGUCGGUAACACCCGAAGCCGGUGGCCCAACCCCUUGUGGGAGGGAGUCGUCGAAGGUGGGACUGGCGAUUGGGACGAAGUCGUAACAAGGUAACCGU
rnacentral:rRNA from 1 species